CCUACGGGAGGCAGCAGUGGGGGAUAUUGCACAAUGGGGGAAACCCUGAUGCAGCGACGCCGCGUGUGGGAAGACGGUCCUCUGGAUUGUAAACCACUGUCCCCAGGGACGAAGAUGACGGUACCUGGGGCGGAAGCUCCGGCUACCUACGUGCCAGCAGCCGCGGUAAUACGUAGGGAGCGAGCGUUGUCCGGAAUUACGGGGUGUAAAGGGAGCGUAGGCGGGACUGCAAGUUGGGUGUCAAAUCUACCGGCUCAACCGGUAGCCGCACUCAAAACUGCAGGUCUUGAGUGAAGUAGAGGCAGGCGGAAUUCCUAGUGUAGCGGUGAAAUGCGUAGAUAUUAGGAGGAACACCAGUGGCGAAGGCGGCCUGCUGGGCUUUGACUGACGCUGAGGCUCGAAAGUGUGGGGAGCAAACAGGAGUAGAUACCCUUGUAGUC
rnacentral:rRNA from 1 species